rnacentral:rRNA from 1 species
AUUGAACGCUGGCGGCAGGCCUAACACAUGCAAGUCGAACGAGUGGCGGACGGGUGAGUAAUGUCUGGGAAACUGCCCGAUGGAGGGGGAUAACUACUGGGAAAGGUAGCUAAUACCGCCUACCAUCAAAUUUGCCCAGCACGGAUUGGGUGGUUUGUGGGGUAACGGCUCACCAAGGCGACGAUCCCUAGCUGGUCUGAGAGGAUGACCGGCCACAUUGGAACUGAGACACGGUCCAGACUCCUACGGGAGGCAGCAGUGGGGAAUAUUGCACAAUGGGCGCAAGCCUGAUGCAGCCAUGCCGCGUGUAUGAAGAAGGCCUUCGGGUUGUAAAGUACUGUCAGCGGGGAGGCGGUACCCGAAGAAGAAGCACCGGCUAACUCCGUGCCAGCAGCCGCGGUAAUUC